rnacentral:misc_RNA from 1 species
CCGAGUAACAGGGUCUUCAAGGCCCGUGCUCCCACCCUUUGUGUACCUACCUUGUUGCUUUGGCGGGCCUGCGGUCCAACGACCGCCGCCGGCUCCGGCUGACGAGCGCCCGCCAGAGGAAUCCGGAACUCUAUCUACCGGUGCCGUCUGAGUAAAUCGGUUUAAUCGUUUA